rnacentral:rRNA from 1 species
GGAGGGUGCGAGCGUUGUCCGGAAUCACUGGGCGUAAAGGGCGCGUAGGUGGCUCGUUAAGUUGCCGGUGAAAUCCCGGGGCUCAACUCCGGGGCUGCCGGUAAGACUGGCGGGCUCGAGCACGGUAGAGGCAGAUGGAAUUCCCGGUGUAGCGGUGGAAUGCGUAGAGAUCGGGAAGAACACCAGUGGCGAAGGCGUUCUGCUGGGCCGUUGCUGACACUGAGGCGCGACAGCGUGGGGAGCAAACAGGAUUAGAUACCCUGGUAGUCCACGCCGUAAACGAUGGACACUAGGCGUCGGGGGGAGCGACCCCCUCGGUGCCGUCGCUAACGCAGUAAGUGUCCCGCCUGGGGAGUACGGCCGCAAGAUUA